UACGUAGGGUGCGAGCGUUGUCCGGAAUUAUUGGGCGUAAAGGGCUCGUAGGCGGUCUGUUGCGUCGGGAGUGAAAACUCAGGGCUUAACCCUGAGCCUGCUUCCGAUACGGGCAGACUAGAGGUAUGCAGGGGAGAACGGAAUUCCUGGUGUAGCGGUGAAAUGCGUAGAUAUCAGGAGGAAUACCAGCGGCGAAGGCGGCGAACUGGACAGUUACUGACACUCAACUACGAAAGCGUGGGGAGCAAACAGG
rnacentral:rRNA from 1 species